rnacentral:lncRNA from 1 species
CUUAAAGGAAUCCUCUAUCCGGACUCCCCCUAGAACCUCUGUCUGGUCUAGGGACUACUUUAAGCUUGAUAGCUCCUGUCUCCUCACUUAAAGCGUAAGCGGCUCACCAGUCCACCCACCCUUCACUAAGAAGAUGCAGCACCAUUCACUUUUUUUUAUAAUAGAAUUGGAGCUAGCCCUGGCAAAGAAGGAGUAUUCACGAAUUAUGACUAGCCUAAGCUAGGUGGCCCUCGUAUAUAGUAGUAAGGAUUCUUUCCAGUUUUUUUAAAAAGCGUAAGCGGCUCACAAGUCCACCCACCCUUCACUAAGAAGAUGCAACACCAUUCAUUUUUUUUAUAAUAGAAUUGGAGCUAGCUCUGGAAAAGAAGGAGUAUCAUGAAUUAUGACUAGCCUAAGCUAGGUGGCCCUCGUAUAUAGUAGUAAGGAUUC